rnacentral:rRNA from 2 species
AAAUUGAAGAGUUUGAUCAUGGCUCAGAUUGAACGCUGGCGGCAGGCCUAACACAUGCAAGUCGAACGGUAACAGGAAGCAGCUUGCUGCUUUGCUGACGAGUGGCGGACGGGUGAGUAAUGUCUGGGAAACUGCCUGAUGGAGGGGGAUAACUACUGGAAACGGUGGCUAAUACCGCAUAACGUCGCAAGACCAAAGAGGGGGACCUUCGGGCCUCUUGCCAUCAGAUGUGCCCAGAUGGGAUUAGCUUGUUGGUGAGGUAACGGCUCACCAAGGCGACGAUCCCUAGCUGGUCUGAGAGGAUGACCAGCCACACUGGAACUGAGACACGGUCCAGACUCCUACGGGAGGCAGCAGUGGGGAAUAUUGCACAAUGGGCGCAAGCCUGAUGCAGCCAUGCCGCGUGUAUGAAGAAGGCCUUCGGGUUGUAAAGUACUUUCAGCGGGGAGGAAGGUGUUGCGGUUAAUAACCGCAGCAAUUGACGUUACCCGCAGAAGAAG